rnacentral:sRNA from 1 species
GCCAGGAAUGGUGGUGCAUGCCUGUAAUUCCAGUUACUUGGGAGGCUGAGGUAGGAGGAUCCCUUGAGCCUGGGAGGUCGAGGCUGCAGUGAGCUCUGAUUGCGCCACUGCACUCUAGCCUGGGCAACAGAAUGAGACCCUAUCUCAA